rfam:Myotis brandtii contig311678, whole genome shotgun sequence.
GCCAGUGUUGCUUAGUAGUUAGAGCGUCGGCCCGCGUCCCGAAGGGUCGUGGGUUCAAAUCCCAGUCAGGGGCA